GUCCGGGCCUAGAGCUACAGCGCUGAUCUGGCAUCUGGGAUAAGCAUCAGCCCUGUUGUCUCUAGGCACAGGGGUGCUGCGGCAGACGAAGCUCCAGGCUCCCUAAGUUUUCCCCCUGAAUCCAGGACUCUGGCCUGCCCCUUCCUGUGCUCUCGUGGACCUCCCACCAGAGGAACCAGAUGAAGAUUUUUUUUAAAAGAAAAAGAAAACCAACAUGCAAAUGCUAAUCCACAGGUGAGUUCUAUUUGUGAAGAAGGGAAAUGUAUUAGUUGUUUGACUCUAUCCAAGAACUGAUGGUAAGGUUUCCUUAUAUGGCAAACUUCCUUUGAAAUCUAAAGGAA